GUUCUUCGUCAUACCGAAAAUUGCACACCCUAAGGCUACCGUCUCCCGCGCACUAAUUUUCUCAAUAUCUUUGGUGUUAGACGGUAGCCGAAAAUUGCACGCCAGACGUAUGAGGACAUAGAACCUAAAAUGUAUAGGAGGGCCUUUGGAAUCAUAAGAUUUUUAAGGAAUUACAAGGCACACUACAAAGGCAAUCGUUUUGCUGAUAAGGCUUUACGAGAGUUAUGAAGUUGUUUUCUCAUUUGCUUGGAUGUUCCUAUAAUCAACUUCUCUUAAAGUUGAAGGGAUUAAACAUUCAGAAUAUGGAAGGGCAUGAAAACACAACUUAUGAUCCUUUAGGGACCUUUAGAGUUCACUGCUCGCUUUUUCAACUAGAUAAGUCUUAGAAGAUGAUGUCUUAGUCUGGAAGAUGAUGCAGGGGAAUCAAAAGCGUGAGUAAUUAUAUUUGUACUCUUGGCUUUUGCUACAUUACUUAGCCAUUAGUUUGGAUAAAUAGUAUAAGAGAAUAAAAAACU